CAAAUACAAGAAAUUGGGCGGAAAUACGAAGUAGAAUGACAGGCAUGGUUUGUAGAUGCAGAUGUUAUGUAGCACUGAAUGACAAGUGUGGAAGCACUUGAAUGGGUGUGGUUAUGGCCUACUUAAGCUUCUGUUAAGAUGCUGGUUGUAGAGAUUGAAGAAUAACAAAAAUCCUCAGGCAGCAUUGCUGCUAACUGACUCAGAUUUGAAGCAGAAGAAGAGAAGGAAUACCCAGGGCAAGAUGGCUAGAGAAGAUGAGGAAUAGAGAACAGUGGAGACUGGUUGUAGCGGAGGCCAAGGCUCUCCCAGGGGUGUAGCG